GUCGAACUCCUGACUUCACGUGAUCCACCUGCCCCUGCCUCCCAAAGUGCUGAAAUUACAGGAUUCAUCAUUUCGCAUUUCUGUAACCAUGAAUGAGGGUGUUUGUUUUCUUAGAACUGUCCAUGUGGAACAUCCUGUCAGCCUCAGCUUUUUAACAAUCAGGGUCUCCUCAUUACUGGCAUAAAGACUGAGUUACAAGGGGACUUCAAAAAUUC
rnacentral:lncRNA from 10 species